rnacentral:rRNA from 1 species
AGGGCACCACCAGGAGUGGAGCCUGCGGCUUAAUUUGACUCAACACGGGAAAACUCACCCGGCCCGGACACUGGAAGGAUUGACAGAUUGAGAGCUCUUUCUUGAUUCAGUGGGUGGUGGUGCAUGGCCGUUCUUAGUUGGUGGAGUGAUUUGUCUGGCUAAUUCCGAUAACGAACGAGACUCUAGCCUACUAAAUAGAUCGUCGGCUUACAAACGCCGGCGAGACUUCUUAGAGGGACAGGCGGUGAUUCAACCGCACGAAACAAAGCAAUAACAGGUCUGUGAUGCCCUUAGAUGUCCGGGGCCGCACGCGCGCUACACUGAAGUGAUCAGCGUGCUUUUUCAACCUACUCUGUCAAGAGUGGGGAACCCAAUGAACCUUCUUCGUGAUUGGGAUAGGGGAUUGUAAUUAUUCCCCUUGAACGAGGAAUUCCCAGUAAGCGCGAGUCAUAAGCUCGCGUUGAUUACGUCCCUGCCCUUUGUACACACCGCCCGUCGCUACUACCGAUUGAAUGUUUU